rnacentral:lncRNA from 1 species
AGGUAGGUGUCUUCAGCGGGGUGCUAGCUCCCUUACAGAAGACUCUUCUUUAAUAGCUAUGGUUGUUCUCUCAUAGAUCUCAUAGACUCUCUUGAGAACUAAGAAGAAUGGGGAGAAAGAGGAGAAAAAGAAUUAGAAUUUUUGAAAUAAUUUUUCUCUAAAUUUUUUUUUAUUUUUCUCUUCCACAUAGGAUCUAAAAUUAGUCCCUACAAAUAAGAGGGAGGACUAGAGUUUCUUGGGAGAGGGG